CGUUCGCGGCGACCGUGAACUUCCGGUUCACGGUGUUGGGUUUUAAAAAAAUCGUGAAAAUUACGUUUCUGAUUAAAAAUCGAUUAUGUCAUGCAUUUUUAGGCAGACAAAAGGUUAAAGAACAGUCACGCAUUUGUUUUGUGUUCAUUCAUUGUUUAUUUCCGCUGCAGUUGACGUCCGAAGUUACUACUCGAAUAAAAUCAACUUUUGCUGUUAAAAAGAACAUUUUAUGAGCUGAUCCUUCUGGCAAAAAUACCACUUUGCCAAUUAUUAUAAAGAUUGUCAUUUUGAUUUUCUUAUAAUGCCGCCAAAGAAGCGUAAGCUUAUGCCCCCAGCACCAACAGGCAAAUGUCGACUUUUGCUUGAAGAACGGUAUAAAGAGAUUCCUGUUGAUGCUGAAGACUUGCUGAAUGGUCAUGUGGUUUUAAAAUUCAUGUAGGAGUCAAAAUUGUUUGCACCAACUACAAAGUUUUUUGCUGAACACAUGGGCUUACAGAUUACAAAGAAUAAAAUCCAGUUACUUGUAAAUAGAACAAUUAAAAAGUACACUCAUAUGAACAGAGAGAAGGAAGUUUCUAUGUUAAUAGCUAAUUGUGAUGAGAAGUACAAGCAUGAGAAAAAACAACAAGAACCGGGAACUUCAGCAGAACAGGCAGUUAGACGAAAGUUGACCCAAACAACUUCUUUGGUUACUGUAACACCAUCUACAUCUG